UACGGGGGGGGGCAAGCGUUGUUCGGAAUUACUGGGCGUAAAGGGCGCGUAGGCGGCCCGCUAAGUCAGACGUGAAAUCCCUCGGCUCAACCGGGGAACUGCGUCUGAUACUGGCAGGCUUGAAUCCGGGAGAGGGAUGUGGAAUUCCAGGUGUAGCGGUGAAAUGCGUAGAUAUCUGGAGGAACACCGGUGGCGAAGGCGGCAUCCUGGACCGGUAUUGACGCUGAGGCGCGAAAGCCAGGGGAGCAAACGGG
rnacentral:rRNA from 1 species